AGUAACACGUAAACAACCUGCCUUCAGGAUGGGGACAACAGACGGAAACGACUGCUAAUACCGAAUACGUUCCACGGGCCGCAUGACCUGUGGAAGAAAGGGUAGCCUCUACCUGUAAGCUAUCGCCUUAAGAGGGGUUUGCGUCUGAUUAGGCAGUUGGUGGGGUAACGGCCCACCAAACCAACGAUCAGUAGCCGGUCUGAGAGGAUGAACGGCCACACUGGAACUGAGACACGGUCCAG
rnacentral:rRNA from 1 species